CCUACGGGUUGCAGCAGUAGGGAAUAUUAGAAAUGGACGAAAGUCUGAUCUAGCGACACCGCGUGUGCGAUGAAGGCCUUCGGGUUGUAAAGCACUUUUUGGAAGGAAUAGGAAGGAAGGUACUUCCAGAAUAAGUCUCGGCUAACUACGUGCCAGCAGCCGCGGUAACACGUAGGAGGCAAACGUUAUCCGGAUUUACUGGGCGUAAAGCGCGUGUAGGUGGUUCUGUAAGUAGGGCGUGAAAGCUCCCGGCUCAACUGGGAGAGGCCGUUCUAAACUGCAGAGCUAGAGGAUGGUAGAGGGAGGUGGAAUUCCAGGUGUAGCGGUGGAAUGCGCAGAUAUCUGGAGGAACACCAGUGGCGAAAGCGGCCUCCUGGACCAUUCCUGACACUCAGACGCGAAAGCUAGGGUAGCAAACGGGAUUAGAUACCCUAGUAGUC
rnacentral:rRNA from 1 species